rnacentral:rRNA from 1 species
UACGGGGGGGGCAAGCGUUGUUCGGAAUUACUGGGCGUAAAGGGCUCGUAGGCGGCCAACUAAGACAGACGUGAAAUCCCUCGGCUUAACCGGGGAACUGCGUCUGAUACUGGAUGGCUAGAGGUUGGGAGAGGGAUGCGGAAUUCCAGGUGUAGCGGUGAAAUGCGUAGAUAUCUGGAGGAACACCGGUGGCGAAGGCGGCAUCCUGGACCAAUUCUGACGCUGAGGAGCGAAAGCCAGGGGAGCAAACGGG